rnacentral:tRNA from 1 species
AACCGGUGAACUUGUAAAAAGUAUAUACCUUGAAAGUAUAAGUAAAGAGACCUAGAUUCUCUAUUGGUUU